rnacentral:tRNA from 1 species
AUUUAAAUAAUUUAAAAAAAAUAUUGGUUUGUGGAAUCAAAAAUAUGAAGUUGUUUCAUUUUAAAUC